rnacentral:rRNA from 1 species
GUGAGGAAUUUUGCGCAAUGGGGGCAACCCUGACGCAGCGACGCCGCGUGGAGGACGAAGUCUUUCGGGAUGUAAACUCCUGUCAGUGGGGACGAUAAUGACGGUACCCACAGAGGAAGCACCGGCUAACUCCGUGCCAGCAGCCGCGGUAAGACGGAGGGUGCAAGCGUUGUUCGGAAUUACUGGGCGUAAAGCGUAUGUAGGCGGCAAGUUAAGUUCAAUGUUAAAGCCCACGGCUCAACCGAGGAGAUGCAUUGAAUACUGGCUAGCUAGAGGGUGUUAGAGGAAGACGGAAUUCCCAGUGUAGCGGUGAAAUGCGUAGAUAUUGGGAGGAACAUCGGUAGCGAAAGCGGUCUUCUGGGACAUACCUGACGCUGAGGUACGAAAGCGUGGGGAGCAAACGGGAUUAGAUACCCGAGUAGUCC